rnacentral:rRNA from 1 species
GAUGAACGCUGGCGGCGCGCCUAAUACAUGCAAGUCGAGCGAACAGACGAGGAGCUUGCUCCUCUGACGUUAGCGGCGGACGGGUGAGUAACACGUGGAUAACCUACCUAUAAGACUGGGAUAACUUCGGGAAACCGGAGCUAAUACCGGAUAACAUGUUGAACCGCAUGGUUCAACAGUGAAAGACGGUUUUGCUGUCACUUAUAGAUGGAUCCGCGUCGCAUUAGCUAGUUGGUAAGGUAACGGCUUACCAAGGCAACGAUGCGUAGCCGACCUGAGAGGGUGAUCGGCCACACUGGAACUGAGACACGGUCCAGACUCCUACGGGAGGCAGCAGUAGGGAAUCUUCCGCAAUGGGCGAAAGCCUGACGGAGCAACGCCGCGUGAGUGAAGAAGGUCUUCGGAUCGUAAAACUCUGUUAUUAGGGAAGAACAAAUGUGUAAGUAACUAUGCACGUCUUGACGGUACCUAAUCAGAAAGCCACGGCUAACUACGUG